rnacentral:rRNA from 1 species
AACGAACGCUGGCGGCAGGCCUAACACAUGCAAGUCGAGCGCCCUUUCGGGGGAGCGGCGGACGGGUGAGUAACGCGUGGGAAUAUGCCCUUCUCUACGGAAUAGCCUCGGGAAACUGAGAGUAAUACCGUAUACGCCCUGUGGGGGAAAGAUUUAUCGGGGAAGGAUUAGCCCGCGUUGGAUUAGGUAGUUGGUGGGGUAAUGGCCUACCAAGCCGACGAUCCAUAGCUGGUUUGAGAGGAUGAUCAGCCACACUGGGACUGAGACACGGCCCAGACUCCGACGGGAGGCAGCAGUGGGGAAUCUUAGACAAGGGGGGCAACCCUGAUCUAGCCAUGCCGGGGGAGUGAUGAAGGCCUUAGGGUUGUAAAGCUCUUUCAGCUGGGAAGAUAAUGACGGUACCAGCAGAAGAAGCCCCGGCUAACUCCGUG